CGUGUACUCCCUUCGUCUGGAAAUACUUGUCAUUGAAAUGGAUGUAUCUAGAUGUAUUUUAGUUCUAGACACAUCCAUUUUGAUGAAGUAAUUCCGGACGGAGGGAGUACUUG
rfam:Triticum aestivum genome assembly, contig: Triticum_aestivum_CS42_TGACv1_scaffold_577913_7BL